rnacentral:lncRNA from 1 species
AUGGGGCAGCCACCAGUGUGGAUGCUGUCUGUACCUACCACCCUGACCCUGUGGCUCAUGGCAGAGAGUGUGACAGAGAUCCCAUGUGACAGAGAGCAGCAAUACUGGGACCUGAACCAGCUGAUGCACCGUGUCACCCAGAGGGGCCUCUACUCCCUGGUCAGGGACAGCCUCUUUGUCAGUGGGUACUCUGCCAACAGAAAUGGUGCCUUGACUGAGAAUUCUGGUAAGCCUCAAGGAAGCCCCAGCCUGCACUCGGGAGGGAAUAUCUCGAUGCUCUGCCCCAUCAAAGAUAACCACGCACACAGGGUCUUAGGUGAUGAUGAAAACUGGCCAACCCAUGUCAAGACCUCCCCUUCUGGGCGAUCAUCCUCAUCUGCUUGGUGGGGCUCAUGGUGCCCAUCACAUGCCUGA